AUACCCAGUUCUUAGAACAGUGCCUGACACUUAAAGGGUGACGCUUAAUUCCUUCUUAAUGAAUGCAGAAAUUCAGGUGUGAUUUAUUUAUUUAUUUUUUAAUCUCACCAAAAACUCACUUUGACCGAAUGAAUGGACCCAAAUUAAAAGAAAAAAAUAAAACAGUCAGCAUGAGGACUUCUACUGUGGUCACAUAGCAUCUUGUUUGGUUUAGAUUCUCAGCCUCUCUGACAAAGCUUUUCUUCUGUCCUCACUGAACCAGAGAUGUUGGACAAUUUCUGAGCAAAGAGAAAAAAAUGUUGUUCACUUAGAAGUGCUUAUAAUCCGAUUAACCUAAAUCCCAAUAAAUGUGACAUUACCAGCCAAAAUGCUUUAUAACUUUGAUAUUUGUAAAUGGGAGCUACAGACAAAUCUUACUAAACCUUUUUAGAUUCUGGUUGUAUAGAUUCUGGCUGUAUUAUUCCCACUGAACGAAAUUUCAUCUUGCAUAUAGAAAACUUAAAAGGCUGCUAGUCCAGAACGUUUCCAUAGGGGUAAUGAAAAUCAUGGAAUGGCUGAAGACUGGAUUUAAUUGUAUACUUAGCAGGCUAGUAUUUAAUUUCUCCUGAGGUCAUUAAUUAUAUAGCUUAUCACAUUGAGAGAAAUUGCCGUCUUUGAUAAUAUAAAAUUGAAUUUCAUUUGAUAAUCACGAUGAAGUACAGACUAUCAAGUAUGCAUUCCUUUUCCAUGGUGUUGACAUUCAGGUAUCGUCAGUUUUCUUAGUGCUUUAAAUUAUAUGGUGGAGUGGCUGCCAAAAUACUUGAAAGGAGAAUAAAUAGAUUUACUGAUUCAAAUUUGGCAGUAAUUUUGCAGGAAUGAGGAUAGGCCGUUACAACAUUCUAAUCACAAAACUCCAAAGGGAUUUCAGUGUAAUCUUUAUGUUUUAAGUACUGUUUAGUUGUUGGACUAAGAUACCGUGUGCUCCUGUAAUUGUCUUUGAGCUUUGUGCACUGGGUAAUCCUUUAGCAUGAUCAAUCCAGAGGGGUGAAGAGGGAUGAAUUAGCUAUCUUUUUACCUAUUUCCCAGAAACAGUCCCUAGAAACUAGAGGAAAAGUUUUCUAAAGGAUUGGCGAUAGGUAGUUUGGUCCCACCGAGUGGCUAUAGUUCCAAAGUUGGUACCUUAAAUGACACGUGUGUUCUAUUUCCUUGGUGUUAGCUAUGAGAAUUGCUAUACAGAGUUUUCAGACUUGGGACAUUGGGAGCAAACAGAACAAAAUGGAGAGCCACUUCCUUCGCUUUAUUAGAUCUGAGUUUUCUGAGGCUAUAGAAAUGUAUCGUUUUGUUAAAUUUGUUUAAUUAUGCUCUGUCUUUGUUUGUAGUGCCUACCCAUUGCGUGGCAAUUUCCUUAAGGUCAAAGACUGUCUCAAUCCAUAUAACCCAUAGCAGAAAACCAGUAGGCUUACCAGGUUCUUACCUGAUGUUUUACUGGAUAGGCUGUUAUUUUAACUUUCAGUUUGGUAAGUCAAAAGUAAAAAACUAGAUGGCAGUGGAUUUUAAAGGUGGAUUUUAAAAUAUUAUCAAUAUUUUCUUCUCAGUGCUCCUAGGACAGAGACAGGAUUUGGGGCUGACCAUUUCUGUGUUCUGGGAGGGAUUCUUUUGUGGGCACUCUGAGUCAUGCAGGUGUGAAUCAAGUCAAACUAAGUCGCAUGUAUUGAUUUCUUAUUAUGUGCGGCACUUUUCUAAAUGGUAGUAACUCAUUUAAGCCUCAUAACAACCUUGUGAUAUAGGUACUAAAUACUAACUUCAUUCUAUGAAUGAGGCAACUGAGGUACAAGUCAUACAGUGUAAGGGGUAGACCUGGGAUUUGAGACCAGGAAGUCAGGCUGCAGAGCAUAUAUUUAGAGACAGUCACAACUACUUCCUUAUAUGUCUUGGAAUGGUUCCCAACAGUGCCAAAGGAAUCCAAAAGCACUUAUUUCAGACAAGGAUUUUGAAUGUUAUGUUUUCUAAUGUAAAAAGCCAUCCUAUGGAAGAAGCCAUAUCUCUUCAGAACCUCUAUGUAUGUAAUGUAUGGAUGUAUGUAUGUAUCUAUGUAGUCUACUUACUGUGGUCGGCAGAAUAGUGCCCACCCAGAGAUGUUUAUGCCCUAAUCUUGAAGGCUGUGGAUAUGUUAUGUUACAUGGCAAGGGUGAAUUAAGGUUGCAGGUGGAAUCAAGAUUUCUAAUGUGCUGACCUUAACAUUCGGAGACUAUCCUGAGUUAUUUGGGAGGACCCAGUGUGAAAGUGGAAUUGGGAGUCAGAAGGGCAUUAGAAUCAUAAAAUAGGAGAAAGAUUUGACCAGCCAUUGCAGUCUUUACAGAUGGAAAGAACCACAAGCCUGGAAUUGUGACUACCUUUUAGAAGCUGUAAAAGGCGAAGAAAUGGAUCCUUCUUCUAUAACCUCAAGAAAGAAUUGCAGCCCUGCUACAUUUUGAUUUUAGCUCUGUGAGACCCAUGCCAGACUUCUGACCUCCAGGACUAUAAGAAAAGAAAUUUGUGUUGUUUUAAGACAGGAAGUUUGUGGUAAUUUUUUAUAUUGGCAAUAGGAAAGUAAUAUACUUACUUAUUUACCAUAAGUGAGGAAUUGGUAAUUUCUUUGGUGGGUGGGGAGAUAGGGCUUGGGGGUUUUUGUUAAUGAUAGGAGACAAAAAAAAAAUCUAAGAAUCUCUAGGUCAACUAAGAGCUGGCCUCAGAAUUUUUUAUUCAAAAGUUAAUUAUAAAUUUACUAAGAUUAGGUCAGUGUUGUGCAAUAUUUAUGAUUUUUCUGAAUUCUCAACACAUGAACAUCGUUCAAGAUUGAAAAAGUGUAGAAGAACAUAAAACGCACAAUGCCUGUCAUGAAGAGGGAGCUCAGCAAGUAACAACUCCGUCUGGACACCUUUUCCCCCACAGCCGAAGGAAAAGCGAAGUAGAUUUGGGAAGCUACAAUCAAGGUCAUUUGGGAAGUAGGACCCAGUGUAUUAGCAUUACCUGUGGGUGUCCACAUAGAGAUUUAUAGACACAGGAAAGGCUAGAUCAUGAGAGUGCCCCGUAAAGGCACCACGUUUCACCAGGGAGAAAUGCAUGCAAGUUACCUCACAAAUGUUAAGAAAUAUGCCUAAUUAAUUGUAUGGUGCAUUUUCCAUGGUAUUUGCUUUAUUCAUUUCAUGUGCAUUUUGAUUAAAAAUUUUACAUUUUAUUAUCUCUUAUGUUUUUCAAUAAAUACAAACCAGGACUGA